rnacentral:rRNA from 1 species
UACGGGGGGGGCAAGCGUUGUUCGGAAUUACUGGGCGUAAAGGGCUCGUAGGCGGCCAACUAAGUCAGACGUGAAAUCCCCCGGCUUAACCAGGGAACUGCGUCUGAUACUGGAUGGCUUGAGUUUGGGAGAGGGAUGCGGAAUUCCAGGUGUAGCGGUGAAAUGCGUAGAUAUCUGGAGGAACACCGGUGGCGAAGGCGACAUCCUGGACCAACACUGACGCUGAGUGAGCGAAAGCCAGGGGGAGCAAACGGG